GCCGCGGUGGCGGAAUUGGUAGACGCGCAGGUCUCAAAAACCUGUGAUGCUCAAACAUCGUGUGGGUUCGAUUCCCACCCGCGGCACCC
rnacentral:tRNA from 1 species